GACGUAGGGUGCAAGCGUUGUCCGGAAUUAUUGGGCGUAAAGAGCUCGUAGGCGGUUUGUUGCGUCGGCUGUGAAAUCCCGAGGCUCAACCUCGGGUCUGCAGUCGAUACGAGCAAACUAGAGUGUUGCAGGGGGGACUGGAAUUCCUGGUGUAGCGGUGAAAUGCGCAGAUAUCAGGAGGAACACCGGUGGCGAAGGCGGGUCUCUGGGCAACAACUGACGCUGAGGAGCGAAAGCGUGGGGAGCGAACAGG
rnacentral:rRNA from 1 species